rnacentral:rRNA from 1 species
GCUUGUCUCAAAGAUUAAGCCAUGCAUGUCUAAGUAUAAACUGCUUAUACUGUGAAACUGCGAAUGGCUCAUUAAAUCAGUUAUAGUUUAUUUGAUGGUACCUCUACUCGGAUAACCGUAGUAAUUCUAGAGCUAAUACGUGCGUAAAUCCCGACUUCUGGAAGGGACGUAUUUAUUAGAUUGAAACCAAUGCGGGUUCCCCGGUAUUUGGUGAUUCAUAAUAACUUUCGGAUCGACUUCGGUCGAUGCAUCAUUCAAGUUUCUGCCCUAUCAGCUUUGGAUGGUAGGGUAUUGGCCUACCAUGGCUUUAACGGGUAACGGAGAAUUAGGGUUCGAUUCCGGAGAGGGAGCCUGAGAAAUGGCUACCACAUCCAAGGAAGGCAGCAGG